CUGUUCCCUAGGAUUGGCUUUGGGUUCUUUCUGCGUAGCUUAGGUGGAAGGCGAAGAAGGCCCCCCUUCCGGGGGGCCCGAGCCAUCAGUGAGAUACCACUCUGGAAGAGCUCGGCUUCUAACCUUGUGUCACACCCUCAGGCCAAGGGACAGUCUCUCGUAGACAG
rnacentral:ncRNA from 1 species